UUGUCCAGCAGAGGGCAUCUUUAUCACUGCUCUUGCUUCUGAUAUUGUUCCAGGCUUCACCUACAGAUUUACAACUUUUAGAGUAUGACUACCUUCAAAUACCAGGUGGUUGUUGCUAUGUUUUAGACUGUGGCUCAGUCCUUUAAUUUCCCCUCAUGCAUCCUGUCUGACGCAGCCGGAGGAGAACUCGCCAGAGCUGCAGGAGGUGUUGGAGUUGAACAUGGAAUAUCAGUUUGAACCUGAGGGAUAGAAGACAAUGAUUGACAGUUUCUCAGAACCAGUUAAACUCAUCUGCCCGCCUCCUGAUCACCCAUAUAUAGACCUAAAGAAUAUUAAUCUGCAAGCUGUCUUCAAGCACUCUGGACCUUUUUGUUACUAACCAGCUUCCUUAUCAUGUUUUACAAUGUACAAUAAACCUUGAAUAAUGAC